GUCUUCGAGGUGUAGUGGUCAACACACUCGGCGCGUAUUCGAGAGAUCCGUGGUUCGAGUCUCGGCGAGGGCA
rnacentral:tRNA from 1 species